CGUCGAGCGCAGGAGCAAGCUGAUCCCCUUCGGGGGUGACGCUUGUGGAAUGAGCGGCGGACGGGUGAGUAACACGUGGGCAACCUGCCUGUAAGACUGGGAUAACCCCGGGAAACCGGGGCUAAUACCGGAUAAUACUUUCUUUUGCAUAAAGGAAAGUUGAAAGGCGGCUUCGGCUGUCACUUACAGAUGGGCCCGCGGCGCAUUAGCUAGUUGGUGAGGUAACGGCUCACCAAGGCGACGAUGCGUAGCCGACCUGAGAGGGUGAUCGGCCACACUGGGACUGAGACACGGCCCAGACUCCUACGGGAGGCAGCAGUAGGGAAUCUUCCGCAAUGGACGAAAGUCUGACGGAGCAACGCCGCGUGAGUGAUGAAGGUUUUCGGAUCGUAAAACUCUGUUGUUAGGGAAGAACAAGUUGGAUAGUAACUGACCCAACCUUGACGGUACCUAACCAGAAAGCCACGGCUAACUACGUGCCAGCAGCCGCGGUAAUACGUAGGUGGCAAGCGUUGUCCGGAAUUAUUGGGCGUAAAGCGCUCGCAGGCGGUCCUUUAAGUCUGAUGUGAAAUCUCGCGGCUCAACCGCGAACGGUCAUUGGAAACUGGAGGACUUGAGUACAGAAGAGGAGAGUGGAAUUCCACGUGUAGCGGUGAAAUGCGUAGAGAUGUGGAGGAACACCAGUGGCGAAGGCGACUCUCUGGUCUGUAACUGACGCUGAGGAGCGAAAGCGUGGGGAGCGAACAGGAUUAGAUACCCUGGUAGUCCACGCCGUAAACGAUGAGUGCUAGGUGUUAGGGGGUUUCCGCCCCUUAGUGCUGAAGUUAACGCAUUAAGCACUCCGCCUGGGGAGUACGGCCGCAAGGCUGAAACUCAAA
rnacentral:rRNA from 1 species